rnacentral:lncRNA from 1 species
GUGGCUGAAAAUGGAUGUGGUGCAGUGGACAGCAAGAGUUCCGGGGGGCGAACCCCAUUACCAGGAGUCUCCCUCAGGGUGCUCGCCUGGAAAUGGGAUGUAUGGUCAAUUCCACUCUACCGCAUCCCAAGGUCUGGGUCUCUGAAUUAGACCAAAUCUCGGGGACAUCUCUGCUCUUAUGACUAAUGACCAACAUCAAUGGGAAGAGUCAGACUGUGGCGAGAGGACCAAAGGGCCAGGGAAAGGGGAGUCUGUCCUGGGAACAAUGGGGUGACUGGAACAUUUAGGCCCCCUUCCACCCACCUAGGAAGCCAUCCCUAGUAGAUACAUGAAGCAGGAUCUGGUGGGCUCUUCCACAUAGUGGAGGAGGCAGGGGCGUGAGGUGGGUGGGGGUUGGGGGGAGGGGAGGAAACUGGGACUGGAGGUCUUAGCCUAAGGACCUCCUUCCUGUUUGUAGGGAAGCAACUGCCUCAGAAAACUGCUGGGGGAGAGGAGGGAGGCCAUGGUGACUUCCAGGAAGAAGGCCAAACCUCCCUGUGCCACAUGGGAUUCUCCAGUCCUGGCUUAAAAUAGUGCAACUCUGCCAUUGAUGCUGGACCCAGCCUGAACCUCGAAGGGUUGCAACCAUGGUUUGUGCUGCCAGUAGGAGCGGUGUUUAUGUGUGAGGGUCUACCCAGCUAUCUAGUUCAAAUCAGACUGUGCCCCAUGGCCACAGGGACUAAAAAAAACCAAAAACCAAAAAACAAACACAGAUCCCAGACCUGAAGCUUUGGAUGCAAGUUUCAGCUCUUGCACUGAUCAGCUUUGAGACUUUGGUCUGGUGCCUGCCUGGCUUUCAACCAAAAUGAAGACAGUAGCAUGGCACGGUCUGGUGCCUUUCAACCAAAUGAUGACAGAGCCUUGCCAGACAUAAAGUGGGUGCACAG